rnacentral:rRNA from 1 species
GCUCAGGAUGAACGCUGGCGGCGUGCUUAACACAUGCAAGUCGAACGAUGAACCUCGCUUGCGGGGGGAUUAGUGGCGAACGGGUGAGUAACACGUGAGUAACCUGCCCUUAACUCUGGGAUAAGCCUUGGAAACGGGGUCUAAUACUGGAUAUUGACUUUACCUCGCAUGGGGUUUGGUUGAAAGAUUUAUUGGUUUUGGAUGGACUCGCGGCCUAUCAGCUUGUUGGUGAGGUAAUGGCUCACCAAGGCGACGACGGGUAGCCGGCCUGAGAGGGUGACCGGCCACACUGGGACUGAGACACGGCCCAGACUCCUACGGGAGGCAGCAGUGGGGAAUAUUGCACAAUGGGCGAAAGCCUGAUGCAGCGACGCCGCGUGAGGGAUGACGGCCUUCGGGUUGUAAACCUCUUUCAGUAGGGAACAAGGCCAGCAUUUUUGUUGGUUGAGGGUACUUGCAGAAGAAGCGCCGGCUAACUACGUGCCAGCAGCCGCGGUAAUACGUAGGGCGCAAGCGUUAUCCGGAAUUAUUGGGCGUAAAGAGCUCGUAGGCGGUUUGUCGCGUCUGCCGUGAAAGUCCGGGGCUCAACUCCGGAUCUGCGGUGGGUACGGGCAGACUAGAGUGAUGUAGGGGAGACUGGAAUUCCUGGUGUAGCGGUGAAAUGCGCAGAUAUCAGGAGGAACACCGAUGGCGAAGGCAGGUCUCUGGGCAUUAACUGACGCUGAGGAGCGAAAGCAUGGGGAGCGAACAGGAUUAGAUACCCUGGUAGUCCAUGCCGUAAACGUUGGGCACUAGGUGUGGGGGACAUUCCACGUUUUCCGCGCCGUAGCUAACGCAUUAAGUGCCCCGCCUGGGGAGUACGGCCGCAAGGCUAAAACUCAAAGGAAUUGACGGGGGCCCGCACAAGCGGCGGAGCAUGCGGAUUAAUUCGAUGCAACGCGAAGAACCUUACCAAGGCUUGACAUGAACUGGAAAUACCUGGAAACAGGUGCCCCGCUUGCGGUCGGUUUACAGGUGGUGCAUGGUUGUCGUCAGCUCGUGUCGUGAGAUGUUGGGUUAAGUCCCGCAACGAGCGCAACCCUCGUUCUAUGUUGCCAGCACGUGAUGGUGGGGACUCAUAGGAGACUGCCGGGGUCAACUCGGAGGAAGGUGAGGACGACGUCAAAUCAUCAUGCCCCUUAUGUCUUGGGCUUCACGCAUGCUACAAUGGCCGGUACAAUGGGUUGCGAUACUGUGAGGUGGAGCUAAUCCCAAAAAGCCGGUCUCAGUUCGGAUUGGGGUCUGCAACUCGACCCCAUGAAGUCGGAGUCGCUAGUAAUCGCAGAUCAGCAACGCUGCGGUGAAUACGUUCCCGGG